GACGAACGCUGGCGGCGUGCUUAACACAUGCAAGUCGAACGGAAAGGCCCUGCUUUUGUGGGGUGCUCGAGUGGCGAACGGGUGAGUAACACGUGAGUAACCUGCCCUUGACUUUGGGAUAACUUCAGGAAACUGGGGCUAUUACCGGAUAGGAGCUCCUGCUGCAUGGUGGGGGUUGGAAAGUUUCGGCGGUUGGGGAUGGACUCGCGGCUUAUCAGCUUGUUGGGGGGGUAGUGGCUUACCAAGGCUUUGACGGGUAGCCGGCCUGAGAGGGUGACCGGCCACAUUGGGACUGAGAUACGGCCCAGACUCCUACGGGAGGCAGCAGUGGGGAAUAUUGCACAAUGGGCGGAAGCCUGAUGCAGCAGCGCCGCGUGCGGGAUGACGGCCUUCGGGUUGUAAACCGCUUUCGCCUGUGACGAAGCGUGAGUGACGGUAAUGGGUAAAGAAGCACCGGCUAACUACGUG
rnacentral:rRNA from 1 species